UAUAUACUCUAUAUACUUAUAUAUACUUUAGUGUACUACUGCUAGUACUGCAAUACCUCAAUACUGCAAUAUGAUAUAUGUGCUCUCUUUUCUCUUUCAAAAAAUAUUGUAAAUGCCAUUGCUGUUUUGUUGUUUGUUUGUUUGUUUGUUUUUAAUUUGGAAUGCAUUUCUGCUUUACAGUGGGGAACCCAGUAGCACCAAAUCUGGGAGUCUGAUGAACGUUUCCCUCUAGGAUUGCUGUUGAACAAACACAAUUACCAACAGCUAAAGGAUAACUGCUCUGACUGUCAAGUAUUCACUGGAGUGCCAGCAGUAUUUCCCAGAGCUUUGGUUCGUGGAGAAACCACAGGAUACACUACUGAAUGACAGUGCUGAAUUAAAUCUGAGCUAAUGACAGAUCUGAAGAAGUGUCAACACUGCAACCGAAAAAGCUCGAAGCAGCAGAAAUGUCGUUCGCAGGGGAGAUGGGAGCCAUAGCAAAUACACUUUUCAGGGUUGGUUACUCCUGACUAAUGGCAUGCUGUUUUCAGCAAGUAAAGCCAAAACCUUGCCCACAGGCAGCAGCAUGCUCCAGUGCCCUUUUCUUGUUCCCAGAACAAAAAGUGCUCAAGCACAUCCUCACUGCCAAGCUUUCUUUGGAAAAGAGCCGUAACUCUGUAUCUUCGUACUGAGAAAUUGAGGACAUAGAAGCAUUUCUAAACCUACCAACUGUUGAUAUCAGGGUAGGAGCCCCAACAUCCUCUCUCUGUGUCUUGGAUGCCCGAAAGCAUGGUGAAUGCAUAAUAUGACUAUUUUAAUGGUAAGUAAUCCAUCCAAAGCCCACUGGAUCUGCAGAAAUCUGAGUCUCCUCCUCUGGCUGCAAUGGUAGCAGAGUGCUGAGAAUCAGGCAGGAUUGUGCCCAUAGCUCAGUUCAAAAUGAUGUGCCAAAUUAACAGGCAUAAUCAAGAAUGACAUUGUGUAAGAGGUAAGAAAGACUAAUCAGAUGCUAACUUAGCUGAUGCUGGCAUUAUUGAAAGCCUGGGGACAUAGUCCAAGGAUAAAAGCAUAAUGUCUUAUCUAACCAAGGAGUCAUU
rnacentral:lncRNA from 1 species